rnacentral:rRNA from 1 species
UACGUAGGGUGCGAGCGUUGUCCGGAAUUAUUGGGCGUAAAGAGCUCGUAGGUGGCGGGUCACGUCGGGUGUGAAAGCCCGGGGCUUAACUCCGGGUCUGCAGUCGAUACGGGCAGACUAGAGUGCGGUAGGGGAGACUGGAAUUCCUGGUGUAGCGGUGAAAUGCGCAAAUAUCAGGAGGAACACCGGUGGCGAAGGCGGGUCUCUGGGCCGUAACUGACGCUGAGGAGCGAAAGCGUGGGGAGCGAACAGG